rnacentral:tRNA from 1 species
UGGGAUAUGGUUCAAAUGGUAGAACACUUGCCUAGCAAGUACAAGAUGCUGAGUUCAAACCCCAGUACCACAA